rnacentral:misc_RNA from 1 species
CAGAGAUAUGCCCUCCGGGGCAGACCUCCCACCCUGUAUAAUUUACUCUUGUUGCUUUGGCAGGCCGCCCCCGGGCCCCCGGCACCCGCUGCUGGGGAGCGCCUGCCAGAGGACCCCAACUCUUGUGUUUAGUGUCGUCUGAGUACUAUAUAAAUAAGUUA